rnacentral:rRNA from 1 species
AAGCUCGUAGUUGAAUUUCGGGUUAGUAGGUUGGUCAUGCCUCUGGUAUGUACUGGUCUCACUGAUUCCUCCUUCCUGAUGAACCGUAAUGCCAUUAAUUUGGUGUUGCGGGGAAUUUGGACUGUUACUUUGAAAAAAUUAGAGUGUUUAAAGCAAGCUAACGCUCAAAUACAUUAGCAUGGAAUAAUGAAAUAGGACGUUCGAUCCUAUUUUGUUGGUUUCUAGGAUUGACGUAAUGAUUAAUAGGGAUAGUUGGG